CUCUGUUCUAGAUGUAUACGUUUGAUCAAGAUCAACACCUUUAAUGAAAAACCAAAAACUAAAACUUGCAGAAAACACCAUAUGAAAAUAAUAAGAAGUCAAUGGUACCCAAUACAUUCGGUCCCCUAUGUUUGGAUCAGUAUCGUGCCAGGUCCAAUGGACAAAUUUGAUACCCAUAAUAUCAUAUGAAAUUCAAUACUUACAUAAGAUUAUAACAUACAACGGAAGCCUAUGUCGGAAAAACAUAAUUGGUGCACGACUGUGCCAAAAAUUGUCUAUUUCAUCCAUGAAAUAACAUAUACACUCAACAACCAAACCAUGACAAAUUAUGCAUAACCAAAGUAAAGGACGUCUUCCUCCGUUAGCGAUGAAGAUGGACAAAUGUUAACCUUAUAAUAUUACUAUAUUAGUGGCUGCGUGAAUAGCUAUUUUAUAAGGCGGCCAUCUCGUGCAAAAACGGAGUUGGGUUUGGCAGUGACUCCAAUAUCCAGAAUCUAAACGGCUAGACUAUUCUAUAAUUUAUAUUUUACACUCCCAUAGUUACACCUAACGACAUAUCUAUUAUACCUAAGUAAAUAUUAGGUAUGCUUCGUUAUAUUAUUGAGAAAUUGUUUAAAAUGGGAGAAAAAAUUGAAUCCGCAAUAAUUUGUGUUCAUUUUGAAAGUGGUAGAAACCGAGUUCCGAGUAUAAAACAGUCGUAAGAGGUAGAUGGAAGUUCAGGAAGUUGAAUCCUGGCUCAAUGGCAUAGUCAGGGGAGGAUUGAGGGGUCUGCAUCUGCAGGGGUCCCACCCCCAAAAUAUUAAGAAAAUUUAAAAAUUAUUUUAAUUUUUAAUGGUCUAUGAAAAUUGUUACAAAAAUCUUAAAUUGUAUUUUACAGAAAUAGAUCAGCCCCCCCCCCUCGAAAAAAUAUGUGACUAGGUCUAAAAUAUUAAAAACUUUAUUAUUUAGUAUUUAUAAAAUUUACUUUUGAAUAAUUUUGUUUUGUUGGGGAACUAUUACACUUACAAUCUAAGACACAUAUUAAAUUACUAAGUACAAUACAAAAACAUAAAAUUACGCUCAGGAAAGAAAAACACUUAAGGAAACAAAUGACGAAAUAGGUAUACUAAUAAUAUAAUAACUCGAUUAUAAAUUGUUUAUAAUUGUUUAAUUGUUUAAAUGUUUAUCAUUUACGUUUUUACCUAAAAGAUGAUAUUUAUGCGUACUAAUAUUUGUUUACAGGACUCAAUUUUUAAAUUAUUUACAACAUUAUUAUUUAUAUUAUCUAUUUAGAACAUGCUAUUUUAAAAACCACAUAUUAUAUUUUGAUUUAUAUUAUUUAUACAAUAUUUAUACCAUAUAUUAUUUAUUUAGAAUAUAAUACUAUAAAAACUAAAUAUGUUUUGUUUUCCGAGACUCAACUUACCUACUACCAUUUUUUCCGGGACCCAAUUUACCAAUCUCGGGUAGUGGGUAUAGUUGCUUCAUACGAAAAAAAGUUCACGCCGUCACUGAAUGAUAUAGCAUAUAGAUAGUACUUCUUCAUACAGGCGGUGGUCAUUUGGGCGAAGGUAAUAAUAUAUUUUGACUAAAAAAAUAAUAGUCUGUUAGGUCGACUAUUAUUUGUACCGUUUGGGCGAGUGAAAUUAUUUUUACCUAUGCGAGGUAAAAACCUGGUGACAUACGAAUGAUAUUAUUGCUAAUCAUUAUUAAUCACUAUUAUCGAAUUUUUUUUUUUUAGUCAUAUUUAUUUUUUUUUGUACAAUCUGUUUAAAAUAUAUUUACAAUAAGAACAAUAAAUGGAAGGUUGGAAGGAUGUAUAUAUAAUAGGUCAAGGUUGGCUUGAGUGAAUGAGCUAUUCAGUAAUAGCACUUGAUGAUUAUCGAAAAUUUAAAUAAUUAAUUGUUGAGUGUUUAUCAUAAGCAUUUUCAUACCACCCAAACGGUAUUUUUAGUUGAAAAACCCUUGACCAAACGUGAAACGGUAUAUAUUUAUUCGCCCGAAUAUACCAUAUUUUAGGUAAA